rnacentral:rRNA from 1 species
AAGUCCCGUAACGAGCGCAACCCUUGUCCUUAGUUACCAGCACGUAAUGGUGGGCACUCUAAGGAGACUGCCGGUGACAAACCGGAGGAAGGUGGGGAUGACGUCAAGUCAUCAUGGCCCUUACGGCCUGGGCUACACACGUGCUACAAUGGUCGGUACAGAGGGUUGCCAAGCCGCGAGGUGGAGCUAAUCCCAGAAAACCGAUCGUAGUCCGGAUCGCAGUCUGCAACUCGACUGCGUGAAGUCGGAAUCGCUAGUAAUCGCGAAUCAGAAUGUCGCGGUGAAUACGUUCCCGGGCCUUGUACACACCGCCCGU